rnacentral:rRNA from 1 species
UACGUAGGUGGCAAGCGUUGUCCGGAUUUACUGGGCGUAAAGAGCGCGCAGGCGGUCGAUUAAGUCGAAUGUGAAAGCCCCCGGCUCAACUGGGGAGGGUCAUUCGAUACUGAUCGACUUGAAGGCAGGAGAGAGAAGUGGAAUUCCCGGUGUAGUGGUGAAAUGCGUAGAUAUCGGGAGGAACACCAGUGGCGAAGGCGGCGACCUGGACAAGUACUGACACUCAACUACGAAAGCGUGGGGAGCAAACAGG